rnacentral:rRNA from 1 species
CGGGGUGCACCAGGCGCGAAAACUUUACAAUGCCGGCAACGGCGAUAAGGGAACCUCGAGUGCCAGGUUACAAAUCUGGCUGUCGUGAUGCCUAAAAAGCAUUGCAUAGCAAGGGCCGGGCAAGACCGGUGCCAGCCGCCGCGGUAACACCGGCGGCUCGAGUGGUAACCGUUAUUAUUGGGUCUAAAGGGUCUGUAGCCGGCCGGGUAAGUCUCUUGGGAAAUCUGGCAGCUUAACUGUCAGGCUUUCAGGAGAUACUGCCUGGCUCGAGGCCGGGAGAGGUGAGAGGUACUUCAGGGGUAGGGGUGAAAUCUUGUAAUCCUUGAAGGACCACCAGUGGCGAAGGCGUCUCACCAGAACGGACCUGACGGCAAGGGACGAAAGCUAGGGGCACGAACCGGAUUAGAUACCCGGGUAGUCCUAGCCGUAAACGAUACUCGCUAGGUGUCGGCCACGGUGCGACCGUGGUCGGUGCCGUAGGGAAGCCGUGAAGCGAGCCACCUGGGAAGUACGGCCGCAAGGCUGAAACUUAAAGGAAUUGGCGGGGGAGC